AUACGUAGGUGACAAGCGUUAUCCGGAUUUACUGGGCGUAAAGGGCGUGUAGGCGGUCUUGCAAGUCAGAAGUGAAAUUCCUGAGCUCAACUCGGGCGCUGCUUCUGAAACUGCAGGCCUUGAGUGCUGGAGGGGCUAGCGGCAUUCCAAGUGGAGCGGUAAAAUGCGCAGAUAUUAGGAAGAACACCGGUGGCGAAGGCGGCUAUCUGGACAGUAACUGACGCUGAGGCGCGAAAGCGUGGGGAGCAAACAGGAUUAGAUCCCCUGGUAGUCCACGCCGUAAACGAUGAAUACUAGGUGUAGGGGGUAUCGACUCCCUCUGUGCCGCAGUUAACACAAUAAGUAUUCCGCCUGGGGAGUACGGCCGCAAGGUUGAAACUCAAAUGAAUUGACGGGG
rnacentral:rRNA from 1 species